AACUCAGAAUCUAGAUAUAUAGUCAUAAAGUUGCAAAGAACCAGGCCAAUAAUGUGAAUGGUAGUAAGUGAGAGAAGACUGUUGAGGGAUGGAUUGGCAAUUUCAGUGGCUACAGAGAAGUCCAGCAAGACAAGAGCUUUGAUAUGCCUACUACUUUUGGCAACAUAGCCUUACCAAAAACAGGUUCACUAAAGUGUAGGGCAGAAGUCUAAUGGCAGAGGGUGAAGACCAAAGAAUGGAAAAGGAAGAAAUUAAAACACAGAGAGCCUACUGCUCUUAAGAAUUUUAAGUGCAAAGGACCAGGAGUCAUGUCAGUUUUUUUGUGGUUGACAUUCGAUACUGUUUUUGUUAUUUUUUAAGAGCAAGAGAGGAAAGGGGAACAAGAAGAAGAGGGGGAAAGAGAGAAGAGAAAAAUGGAGUGAGUAGAGGAAAAGAACCCUCAUGGGGAAGUAGAAGGGGCUAAGAAAGCUGCUAUAGUUGCACCAAAGCUGAUCCAAGUACCAGAAAGAAGCCCUGUCAGAAGGAAGAAACGAAGUUUCCAUUUCCAUGCUCCAUCCAUCCGGUAUGCUACCAACUUCAAGUGACAAGUUGUCCUUCCUAUGAGAUCAUCAGGAUGUCUGCUGAACUCAUUAUGGUUUGACAGACAGUUAUACUGAAUUCUCAUUCUAACACUACUACAGAACCAUGAGUUGAAAAAUAUUUUGUAAUCUGUUGUGAUUUUAACUGUCAUGGACUAUGCUUUUCUAUUUGUGCAGCUAAUCCAAACACAAUUCCUAAUUCACCAUUCUCCCUCUUAGGGACCUAGGAAAUACAUACAAAAAGCCAGGAUGAAAAAGAAUAUAGUCUGUGAUGUUUUGUUCAGAAGACCACUGGCAGGCUCAAAGUGUCUUUUUCUAUCUCAAGAUUAACAACAACAAUUAUCAUUCAGUGUCUUUCAGUUUGUAAUUCCCCAGAGUAUGAGCCAAUAUCCUUCUUAGUCUAUAAAUACCCUUCACAGCAUCAGAUAAUGAAUAAUGUCUGUUGAACCAGGGGGUGCCCUCUUGAAGAGAUGUUAGUUCUGCUUUCUCCUCACUCACUGCUUUUGUUGCUGUGGUUGUAUUACUAGGAAGGGGAAAUCUGUUCACCUCUGUGGAUUCCAUACCAGCAGCAACUGUGGAGAAAGGAAAUAUGUGAUACUAAUGGAAACCUGUUUUUAAUGUUUUCCUUGCAUUUCACUGAAGUAGUAAUAGCUAGCACUUGUUGAAUACUUACUGCCAGUCAAAUAGUGUUAAAGGUUUCCAGGCAUUGUCUCAAUUCA
ensembl:lncRNA